CAAACAGUCAAAAGUGUUUGUUACUUAUGAAAUAAAAUUGUUUUUCACUGCUAAUAAGUACCGAAUCUCUACAAAUUUAUAUAGUUAAACUAAGUUUAAGCAGUUAUCAUUUUGAUAAUAAAAAAUAAUUUAUUAGACUCAAACACUUAUAAAAAAGUGUUAAUCAAAGCUUUAUUUAAACAAUAAUAAAGCACAAAACAAGUUAGCAAUAAAAAUUGUUUAAUCAAAAUUCCAAAAAUCCAAAACAACACUAAAUAUAACCUUAAAUAAUAAUUAAAUCUACUACCUCCACUCUCUGAUAUGAACUCAAGUAAUUGUCGAUCUUAUAAGAAAAUGAAAAGUCACAAAUCAGCUCACUGCAAUACAACACACCUCUCUGUGUCAUUUAACACACACAUUUUUAUAGUAGUGAUUUUUACAGUGCCGAGUUUAUCUCAUUUACAUAAAAGUUGUGCAACAAGUUCAAGUUUCUUAGUUUACAGAAUAAUCAAUUCAUGUCAUCAUCUUUACAAUUAAUUAUGUACUGAAUAUAAAACAUCGAUCCGAGAUCAUUCUUU
rnacentral:lncRNA from 1 species